rnacentral:lncRNA from 1 species
ACCGGACGCGCCCGCUUCUCGCUGGAGUGCGCACCGAGCGGCAGUGACUUCGCCGCUGCUGUAGUUCCCCGGCUGGAUGCGGUGACUGGUGCCAGUGCUCAGGCGCCCGCUGCCCUUGACCUCCCGCCCCGCGAGCCCUAACUCAGCGCAGGAGGACCGGCUGCCGCCGCCGCCGCCGCCAGGUAGACCAGGCCUGGCUGGGUUAGGCCAGAAGGGUGUCCCUGGCGCAGGUCUCCCGCGGAGGGCAGAACUAGAACCAGGUUCCCGGCCGUUUCCGACCACACGGAUGGGGCGGACCCAUGAGGUAGAUUGGGAAGUGGAGCUGGCCGUGGUCAUUGGAAAGAAAGGCAAGCACAUCAAGGUGAAGUGGAAAAGGUGGGCUCCCAGGCCAGAGUGCAGCAGAGUCCCCAGCUCCUGCCUCUCCUAGUUCUGACCUCGCUCACCAACACAUGGUGCCAGCUGUCCCUGACACUAGGAAGCAGUCAGCCUCCUUGCUCCCUGACACUGCCUUUCCCUUCACCCACCUUUGGCUGGCUCUGGCUACUAACAUGGGAUAACAGCUUUGAGAUCCCUUGCCACAGGUGUUGGUGUCACCCAUGAUCUAUCCUCCUGUAUGGCCAAAUCCCCUGCCCCCAUAGGCCACAGAUGCCAUGGCCCACGUGGCCGGCUUCACUGUGGCUCAUGACGUGAGUGCUCGUGACUGGCUAACAAGAUGCAAUGGGAAACAGUGGCUGCUGGGAAAAACCUUCGACACCUUCUGCCCUCUGGGCCCUGCCUUGGUGACCAAGGACAGUGUAGCAGAUCCACACAACUUAAAGAUCUGCUGUCGAGUGAAUGGGGAAGUGGUCCAGAGCAGCAACACCAACCAGAUGGUAUUCAAGACAGAGGACCUGAUAGCCUGGGUGUCCCAGUUUGUUACCUUUUACCCAGGGGAUGUCAUCCUGACUGGGACCCCCCCACCUCCACCCAGGUGUCGGUGUAUUCAGGAAACCUCCUGUCUUUCUCAAGGUCUCUGAAGGUCCAGACAGCACUGAUGGCGAGCUUUGGGUCCGCACACUCUGGAAAGAAGAGAGAAGUGAAGGCUCUAGGUAGGGAGAACAGAGAGCCACUGGGCACAGGCUUCUCUCCUCUUGUUUAAAGAAGCCCAGGGAGGGAUAGAGCUCUGACUGGACAGAAGACUGUACUCUGCAGCCUGCCUUCCUAGAGUUGGGUUGUCACUGUCCUGCAGGGGGCAGCAGCCACCAGCAAACACCACUGCCUGCAGGAGCCUGGGCUGACUGGUUGGGACUCACCGAAGAUCCCUUCUUCCUGGGCGGUGGCCUGCAGGAACUGGAACAGCUGCUCUGUGUAGCCCAACUCUGCAGAAGAGAGAAGACCUAGACCUGGCACCCAGCACAGACACAGCCUGCCUCGAGGACUGCAAGGGAACAAGGGCCUCACCAGUAUCGGGCAGCUGGCCCUGGCGGAGGAAGGCGGCAGCCUGUGCAAAGGCCUUGAGCAGCGGGCUGAGCAGGCGGCAGAGGAAAAGAAAGAAAUCUGGGCAGUGUGACUGCUGGCUGAGCUGGAGGGGACAGGCCGGGGUGAGUGCAGCUCCCCACCGCCUCCCUACCACCUCCCUCCAGGGGCAGCUUUUUGAAACACACCCUGAAGUACCGGCCGUCAGCCUCUCCGAAGUCAUCACUGUCACUAUCAGUAAAGUCCCCACUCGGUUUCCACAGCA